CCCUUUUGUACUUGUGCCAUUGCCCUGCAGCAGCCAGGGAGGAGCCCCAGGAGAAGGCCUAAGCUGCCUCAGCAAGCCCGGCAUAGGCAAGUCCCUCAGCCGACCUGCAGGCUCUUGAGUACUUCCAUGCUUUACUCAUUUAUAUACACUCGGACAGUCUUCCAGUUGCACACUUAGCUUUGCAGAGUAGAGAUGCCAGCUCAACCAAACCUGGAACCAGGAUGUGUUUCCAAAUCAUACAGGUACUGUAAUGAGAAGCUUAUCUUCCUGGAAUGGAAUAUAAGCUGGAUUGGAAUAUCCGGUAUGGCUUUCAGAUUCAAACCUCUUCCUCAGGGUCUUCCUACUGGAUGGUGCUGCUGAAGGUGUUUGCAUCCUACAAGGCUGGCCAAGAGCUGCACAUCUAGGCACUGCAGCAGCUCACCAGAGAGGUAGAAAACCACCAGGCCCUCAUGACCUAAGGAAUAGGCCCA